UUGAGUCCAGUUGUUUGUUUUUUUUUUUCAUCUGUGGGUGUAUUAGAAUUCAAAUUUCCUUUUUUUUGUUUCCUGUGUUUUUGUGUUCCUUGUGGAAUUUUUUACCGGAAUUAAUUCCGAAAACCAAAAAAAAAAAAAUUCUGUUCUCAUCAUCAUCAUCAUCAUUUAGUGAUAAAAUUGUGUGUGUGUUUUUUUAAUUGGAUACCAAAAUCACAGCAACAACUAUUGGAGAGUGCGUUUUAAGCAUCUGUUUGUCUGUUUGUUUGUUUGUGUCAAAUAUAAUCGAUCGAUAUAUAUCGAUAGAUAAAUUAAUAAACAAAGAGAAAAACAUAAAUAUACGCCCAAAGCGAUUUUUAUAUCAAUCACAAUAAUCAUACACAGUGACCAACCAUUUGUCAAUAUAUAUUUCAUAUAUAUCCCGUUUACCUUUAUAUGUGAUAUAUUUUGUUCUCACCAAUUCAUUUUUUACAUUUGUAAUGAAACUCUCAUA